CCUUAUUUUUUUUAUUCUGCUGUUGAUAACUGCUUGGCAAUGGAGGCGUCUGUGGUGGAACGUUGUUAUUAUUGUUAUGGCUGCCACUAAAGCUGCUAGCCAAGCUACUAAAGCUGCUAGCCAGAGACGGAGAUCGUGAUUUCUGCUUUGGAGGUGGCAACUCUGGCAGCGAAUCCUCGGUUGCUGUGCCCCCAGCGACAGCAGUAGUGCUUGAUGCUACGGCACUGUUGUCUCCAGUAUGGCUAUUUUGUGAAGUUGAUGUUGACUGCAAUAACUGAUUGUUUGAUUCCUCUGGUAGUUCAUGGACUUCAUCGUACUCAUGAUCGUCGGUACCAAAAUCAAUCAAUCUUUAAAAUGAACAACAAUUAGUAAAAAAGCAAUACAACACUCGGUCGGUCUGCUAAAGCUUUCCAUUCCCUAUCAACAAAAAUACAUAACAAUGACGUCCCGACGCUUUUAAUCCCACAUAGUACAAUGCAAUUAUAAAGCCCCUCACAGAUGUCAAAUACUAACGCUGAUGCUAAGCUGGAAUAACACUCAAACGCUAAUUUCCAUGGGGUGGUUUUAGCUAAGGCUCGUAUUUUUAGAUGUAGUAAAUAGGCAAGAGCUCGCAAUCAAAAAAAUCAUGCCAGUAACAAGCCAAAGCCACGAGAUCAACUCACAAAACAAAGUGACCACUGUUUGACCUUUUUUAAUUGAGCACAAAUUAAAUUAGCCAUAAAAUAGAUACAAAUUAA